AGAAUUUUUUUGCAUGUUAUCAAUGGGUUUUUUAUUACAUAGACUGAUUAAAUGGUGUUUCAUACCGAUCGUGUUAUGUACAAGCGACAGAGUACCCGAGUUACUGAAAAUUUCGAUGAUAAAAGUGAUAAAUCUGCGUGAACUGUUUGGUUUUUCUUUUCUUUUUGAAAUAUAAUCUUUGCAGUUAAUGUACUCUGUAUACUAAGAAUUCAUAUUGAUUUUGGAUAGAAUUUCACAAAAAGAAAUGCGCCAGGUCCUUAGGAAUCAACCCCCCUACCCCACCCCCCACACGGCACAUUUUUUGGAUGAUUGGAACGUAUACCCCUUUACAUCUGUCUCCCUACUUUGAAGUUUUUUCCAACGCCAUGACAUAAAUAAUAAAUAGAUAAAUAAAUAAAAAUGCAAAAAUAAAAAAGAAAGAUGUAUAUGUAUUCGGAUUGGCAUGUUCCACUUUGUCCGGGUUGAAAUCCCCUAGGAUGCAAAUGUACAUUACGCCGCACUGCUUGCAGUACGCACAUGGUACAGGCGUACCGCAUAGGUAUGUAACUACUAAGACUAUAAACCAAACAGAAUAUGAUAUGCAAAACUAUUACUCUGAAUGCAUUUUAUUUGUUUACAAUGUAGCCUGUCGGGCUGUGGUGUCACACGCGUGGUUUACACGUGCACUUUAGGUGCCAGUGGAGGAAAUUCGAACGAUGUAUGGAUUAUUGUCUCCUGGUAACUUUGGCAGUUACCCUUUGCUUUCAAUCUACUUUUUAAGAAUAAUUCAACCCUCGCUAAUCAUUUCCAAGCUGCAUUUCGAUCUUGGAAGAAUGAUCUUCAGCUACAAUACAAAAUUAAGGGAUGAUGUUGUGUACUGAGUUUUUCUUGAUUGUUUACAUCUGUGAUUGUUUAUGUGAUGUAUAAACUGAUCAAGCUGUACAGUGUCAUGACAUAUAGUGGCAUAGCUUCCAUUUAUAUGCUUGCGCAUCAUUUUGUCAGAAGAAGAAAUUUCUAAAAUUAAGAUUUUUAACAUGUAUAUGAUUAUAUGUGUUUGUUUGAUUUUAGUAUAAUACCUGUAGAGAAUAUUUCAGUAAUAUGAAGUGCGACACAUUUAGACGCAUGCAUGUGGUGUUUGAAGGUCUCAUCUGAAAGACCAGCAACUUUCUCUUUUGAAUGCUAAAUAUGACGAUGGAGCAUUCACCUCACUACCUACAUUUACACCCUAAAUAAAGUACAUUAGCAUGGCUCGAAACCAUGAUUUCUUCAUCAUGAAGCAAAUGCUCUGUUACCACUGAGCUACCAAUUUUUUAACAUGAAUUCAUAGCUAAAAAUUUUAAAAAUUUAUAACUAAUUUUUUGGUUAAUUCCAUAAAUAUUAUUCCUCUCUUUAGACACAAUUCUGGGUAACCCCCUGCCUUUGGGCUUUCAGAAUGGGACAAUGUCAGGAGAGCUUUUGUUAUUUGUUAUACUCUUAGUGUUGAUGGCAUCUAUGAACAACAGGAUAAUGUUUUUAGAUUAUUAUUUCUGAUAUCAUAUUUGUAAAUUGUUUAUGAGGGGUUGUUAAAGUUUGUGGACAAAAGGACACACUUAUUAAAAAUUCAAAGUUAUGAUAAGUAAAAAAUAUAGGAGAUGUGUAACAAGAUUGUAGAUUUGAACAUUUUAAUUUUAAUUAAUUUUUAUAAGUAUUGAUUUCAGAUACAUGUAUGACAUUGCAUGCUUGAUCGGGGAGGGGGGCUACAGUUAGAUAAUAUUCUGGUCAGCACAUUCGAUAAACUACAGUUGUACAUGGAACUCAUUAAAUCACUUCUUUUUCUUUCAGUGGUCUUCAACUUUUAAUCUCUAAGAAGGAAAUGUAAUUAAAAGAUGAAUAAAGUAUCCAUAAGAAUACCAGAAGAAAGGCUGUGUUGAGAAAAACAGCCCUUCCUCAGUACCUCAGAACUAGAUGAUAGCCCUUGUUACUUUAUGCUGAAUAUGACACAGUAUAGAAGAUCUGAUCAUGAAGAAGUUACACCAUUGAUACACUUGCCAACUGCCAAAACUACUUUCUGAUAGUAUGACGAGAUUAGAAGAUAUCAUGGUGUAGUCAUGACACAAACUGCAAAUCAAAGAUUGUCUUCCCCAGAGGAUGAACAGAGUGCUUCACAUGGAUAACAUUUCCUUUUCGAGUUUUGAAAUUAAUUUGUCAGAAUGUUAUGCAUCAUGAUCAACAGAAAAGAACUUCACAGGUAGACCAAAGCUGACAUGGGAUGAGAUCCUAAAACGAGACCUAGAGUUUAAAGGAUUGGAUAGGAUCAAUCCACUGGGUCGCCAAGUGUGAAAGUACAAACUUCAACCUCGACAGGACAGCCAGGCCUCACCCUUGCAAAAAUAUUAAUUUGGCCUGGAUAGUCAAAAUGAGUGAUGAUGAUGAUAUCAAGGUCUGACACUAUAAGCUCAGUAAGGGUAGAUCCUGGCAAUGGAGCUGUUAAGCAAUACAACAAACAGGUUUAACAUUGAACAUGUUUAUAUACUUUUUUAGCUCACCUGAGCCAAAGGCUCAAAUGAGCUUUUCUGAUCACCUUUGCCUGUCGUCUGUCGGUCUGUAAACUUUUCACAUUUUCAUUUUCUUCUCCAGAGUGAACCACUGGGCCAGUUUCAAUCAAACUUGGUAUGCAUCAUCAAUAGAUAAAGGGUAUGCAAAAAUAGGGUGGGGUCAUUUAAAAAACCUUUUCAAGAACCACUGGACCAGGAAAGUUGAAUUCACAUAAAAGGUUCCUGUUUUGUGCAAAUCAUGGUCUCCGGGGGUAGGGUGAGGUCACAAUCGAGGAUCAAAGUUUUACAUUCAUAUAUAGUACAGAUUCAAGUUUGUUAAAGGUCAUGACUCACAGGGAUAGAGUGGGGUCACAAUAGGGGAUCUAAGUUUUAUAUGUGAAAUAUAUACAAGGAAAAUCUUUUAAAAUUUUCUCCUAAAAAACUAGAUGCAGAACUAAACCCAAAAUCGUAGCUCUUUGAGAAGAUAUUGGGGCAAGUCAGAGCGCUAGAGCUUCAGAUGAACCCCUUAUUAAAAAUCUUCAAUUUACGGCACAGAAAAAAAGUGCAUGGUUAAGUCCCUCUAUCACUGUAUUCCUGCAUUGCUGUCUCAUGAAUUUAAUAUUAAAUAAUUCCUAACAUAUUUUCCCACUAUACUUGUUUCCAAGCAUACUUUCAAAUAUUCCUUAAACCCACAUAUAACCUAAAAACUCACAGCUUCAAGUGAUUUUCUUUGUUGAUGUAGCCAUGUUAGGUAUACGUAGCCAGUCAAUUUGAACCCCAGUUCAUUUCCAUACUCAUACUCAUUUUGAAACAUAAUGUCUGUGUGAACUAAUAUCCCCACAAAUAUUUUUAGUGAAAUAUUUUGGAUGAAAUCAUCCCACUUGGGUUAAAUACUUAUUAUUCAAAAACUGUAGGUUUGAAUAUUGAACUAAUUUCACAGCUUUCUUAAGUUGGUCCCCAUCCCCUCCAGUCUGUUUUUACGCUUAACUAUUGAUUCAGAAAUGGAGUGUAAGGGAUCAGACUAGGCUUUAAUAGCAUUAUCAAUUUUCAAAAGCUUUAGAAAAAUUAUACAAUUUUAGGUCACUUGAGUAAACUCAGAUGACAUAUUGCUAUUGGUCUGCGUCCGUUGUAGUCCGUCGAUGUUAACAAUUGAAUAUUUUUAACUAAAUUCUAUAACUGAAAGGUGAAGAUAACGAACAGCGAUCAAUCUACGAUUCGAAUAACAGAAUUAUUUUCAAAUUUAGUAUGAAGCACACAAAUUUACAUUAAACCUUCCUGACAUAGUGCAUAUUCAAGUUUGUUAAAAUCAUUUCCCGGGAGGUAUGGUGUGGUAACAAUAGGGGAUCAAAGUUUUAUAUGCUGAUAUAUUUAAAGGAAAAAUCUUUAAAUAUCUUGUAUAUACAAUUUUUAUGGCAAAACAAAUCUGACCUAUUCAGUGUGUCCUGAACUACAUUGUGUUUAAGGUAAAACUUAUACGGUACCAAUUUUGAUGCACCAGAUGCGCAUUUCGACAAAUAAUGUCUCUUCAGUGGUUGGCGUGGGUUCGAAUCCUGCUUGCACCGGUAAGUGAGAAAGUUUCCCAGUUUACUCUCGGAAGGUCAGUGGUCUCUUCCCAGGUACAUUGUAUCUGGGUUCUCUCUUCCACCAAUAAAAACUGGGCACCACCAGAUAACUGAAAAAUUGUUGAGUGUGGCGGAAAACAGCUAAAACAAUCAAUCAUAUUAUGUUAUUUGACCUUGUGACCCUGAACUCUGAGUUUGACCUACUUUUAAGAAAGUAUAACUUAUUAAGUAUAUCCAGGACUAUUUUAGAUAGGGCUUUCAUGUAUUGUAUAUAGAUUACUUAUGGCAAGGUCUUUCAUAUCAUACCAAGACCUAUGACUUCAUACCUUGGUCUUAUCCAGAACAGCAAUAUCAUGCUUGUCAUAUCUUUGUGUUAUAUGAUUUCAUUUCAGUAAUGUUGUGUUCUUUAGAGGUAGGUUUGGGUCACAUUAUUCAUGAGAAUAAAGAUUGAUAGAAUAGCAUUUAAAAAUCAAAACAGCAGGGCCAAGGUGACUGAGGUGAGCGAUGUGGCCCCUGGGCCUCUUGUUGAUUUUGAUAUUUGUACAGAUAUCAUUUGUAUGAGAAAUGGAACUCUUUUUUUCUUUUACAAAUACAUGUAUUAUCAUAUGGAUCCAUCUGUGUUGAUUAUUUAAUCAAAGGACUACAUUCAAUGUAUUAAAUGCAAAUUUAUUGAUAUGUCUGUGGUUGAAUUACUCAUGUAUGUACAUGUAUACAUUUUUUUGGCACAUGCAAUUACAUAUAUAAUGUAUAUAUACAUACUAAUUGUACAUAUAACAUCUCCUGUAAUAUAAUAAAAUAUAUGACUGAGAAUAAAA